UACGUAGGGUGCAAGCGUUGUCCGGAAUUAUUGGGCGUAAAGAGCUCGUAGGCGGUCUGUCGCGUCGGCUGUGAAAACCCGGGGCUCAACCCCGGGCCUGCAGUCGAUACGGGCAGACUAGAGUGCGGUAGGGGAGACUGGAAUUCCUGGUGUAGCGGUGAAAUGCGCAGAUAUCAGGAGGAACACCGGUGGCGAAGGCGGGUCUCUGGGAAGUAACUGACGCUGAGAAGCGAAAGCGUGGGUAGCGAACAGG
rnacentral:rRNA from 1 species